rnacentral:rRNA from 1 species
UACGUAGGGUGCAAGCGUUGUUCGGAUUUACUGGGCGUAAAGCGCACGUAGGCGGUUUGUUAAGUCAGGGGUGAAAUCCCGGAGCUCAACUCCGGAACUGCCCUUGAUACUGGCAAGCUAGAGUCCGGAAGAGGUGAGUGGAACUCCUAGUGUAGAGGUGGAAUUCGUAGAUAUUAGGAAGAACACCAGUGGCGAAGGCGGCUCACUGGUCCGGUACUGACGCUGAGGUGCGAAAGCGUGGGGAGCAAACAGG